CACCCCAACCCUGUACUUUCUCCGUCCCGGCCUGUGCCUCCUGCAGGAGAUGUAAAGAUGUUCUCAGGAGAUGAGCUGAGGAGACCAAGUCAGACAUUAGUGAGUGGUUCCUGUGUCCUGCACUCAAAUAGGAGGAUGGGAGGAAUCAGAUGCAAUCGACCACCCUCCUUCAGUUCACGGGGUGCCACCCACACUGGGAACGGGAGGUUCAUGCAUAGCUCGUCAUGUCUUUAAGAAACAAAACAAAACAGGAUUUGAAGCAAUAUUCUGAGUCAGGAUUUGAAUUCAGGAUUUUGUAUCUAAUUAUCUUCCUAACGAGUGAAGCCACACCUGAAUUUCGUGGUGGAAAUGCCCCCAGACACUCCCGCCUUUCCAUGCCAUUGGAUUUGGCUACACUUGUCAGAACAGAACUCUUCGUCAGAAGUUCAAGUCACUUGCCCCACAAAUAUGGCUCCUCCAAGUCACUGACGAGAGACCGAAGACACGCUUGGGUGAUGCCACCAAGUCACCUCCAAGGUCCUCUCUGCUAUAUUCUCAUCUGGCUAGAAUAUUAAAAAAAAAAAUUAUCUCAUCUUGAAAGUCUCAAGUCCCCUAGAAAAGAAGUACCUAAUCAAAGAGUCCCAAAGCUCAAUGCUCACCAUGGUUAUUUAAAAAAAAAAAAAAAAA
rnacentral:lncRNA from 1 species